GACAGGUUUUAUAAGAGCACCAGUUAUCAUCUUUGUGAUGCUGUAUGUCUUGGCCAGUGUAACUGUCACACGAGAGACAACCACAGCAGCCGAUGUUUCUGAGCCCUGCUACAACUACACUGUACUGGACGAGCCAUGGAGAGCCAUCAAUAAUACAAAUGCAUCAGUCAGAAUGUGUGACCACAAUGUAAACUGGAGCGGCUGGUAUCGGCUCUUCAUUAACAGUCUGAGCGCUCAGAUCCCAGACACGUGUGUGUGUUGUUUCACAUAGCUGUGGUACUAAUGUUGCAUUGCGGAUUCAUGGUGGACACCCAACAGUUGAGGAUGGAGUCGUCACUCGAGAUGUCUGCGGUCACUGGAGGAAUUUCAGAUGUUAGAAGCAUUAACACCAGCUCCACCACUCCAACACCAGCGACCAUCUCAACUGUUUAUCCCUCUGUUGACCCCUGCUACAACUACACUGUACUGGAUGAACCAUGGAGAGCAAACAGCAGUCAAUCAUCAAGCUCCUACAAGAGUGACAGAGAUCUGACCUGGAGCGGCUGGUAUCGUCUCUUCAUUAACGGUCUGAGCGCUCAGAUCCCAGACACGUGUGUUGAAAUCUAUAGCUGUGGCACUCGUAUCCCACUGUGGAUACCUGAUGCACACCCAAGAUUUGAGGAUGGAGUCGUCACUCGAGAUGUCUGUGGUCACUGGGACAGUUACUUCUGUUACUACAGGUCUUAAUGGGGUUACUACCCCAUUAAAGUCAAAGCCUGUCCAGGCAGUUAUUAUGUUUAUGAGCUGGUUAGUCCAACUAUCCCUCAUUCAGCAUACUGUGCAGGUAAUUAUAUUCACAUGAGCCUUUUAUGAAUAUUCAUGAUGUUUGUGUCUCCGUGCCUGUGUCUGUAUGAGAUGAAGAAUAGAGUUAAUUUCAGGGUUAAUACAAUAUUUCUA